AUAAAGGGUCCCAAUGAAAUAUGUGCAGUGUCACAUGUUUAGAGUAAUUUGUCACAUGACCAGAGCUGUUUACUUCCUGGUUGCGCCAUGAGAAGAUGAUGGCUGCAUGAAAGCUCCCAAACAAAAGUUUCACUUUGAGUCAAAUUCUGGAUAUGUUGGAUCUAGGUGACUGCCCAGACAAGGCAUGCAAACAUUGCAGUUAGCCCUCAUAAUGAGAAAGAUGCUGUCCUCCGUGAUUGUGCUAGUGACGGGUCAGAUAUGGACUAUGGACAGGCCAUUUGCCAGCCAGGCUGUUGAAUGCAUAUGCUGAUCCUAUGCAAACAGAUCAUGACAGGAACAACAUUAUCAGGGAUGAUGACCUAUCCACCCCCCAUUGUUAAUAAUGAAGAGCCAAGGGCCUCUACCUGACCGAGGGGUCAGCCAGAAGAGCCAGGGGAAAAGCUGCAAGUGGUCAAAAAUAAAGAUUGAGUGUUCAAACGAUCAAAGAUGCCUGCCACCGAUGUGAUUCCAAACCACAUAGUAUACAGCCCAGAUGUGCAAAAGUUUGGCACGAACCCACUGAGCCACGGAAGGAGAUCUUUACUGGCUGCUACUGUUGAAAAUCAGGCAAGAUAUGACAAAGCUUCUUACUGGCCAAUCAACAUGAUGCACCGGUUCCAGAGAUGUCGUCAUUGUGACAAACGCACUACCUAUGCAAGUGAGAAGUGCAAAACGCCACUGUACAUUGAGUGCUUCGAGAUAUACCAUGGACAGUAGAAAAGGAGAUAAGAGUGAAUGAAAAAGGGACGAAAAAGAAAAAUAGAAAAGUGGAUAAAGGGUGAGAAGAAGCAGUACAACAGACUCUUGGAAGAAAAUAAAAGUAGAUGAAAAAGACAAUCAAAAUGACUGAUUUUUUUGGGGAAAAGGUCAAUUGAUUUGACAUACUGUAUGACAGGUCUGACUGAUCGUAGUUCAAAAUAGUGAUGCACAAACUAAUCAUGCACUUGGUUCUGAAGCCUACCUCUAUUAUAUAUAUAUAUAUGCACUCAAUGUGGUGCUUUUUAUGUAUAUAUAUAUUAUUUUGUUUAGCAUAGGCCUCUACUUGAAUGCAUACUCUACAGGCUACCUCUAUCCUAAAUGUUACCUUUAUGUUUAGCAUAGGCCUUUACUUGAAAGCAUACUC